CUGGCAGUCAGAUGACUCUGAGCCUCAGUUUGUCCAUUUGCGAUGGAAGGAGAACCCGCCGCCCCUCCCCCUGCCGCACCAGGACGUGACGAAGCUCCAUUUUCAUCAUCUGAUAGCAGGAACAGCAUCUGAGGACGGCGGAUGAAUUGCAAACCUGUGCAGUUACAGGCCCCGCCCAGCCCUGGCCUGCCUGCUGGGAGCCUGUGAGCCUCUCGCCGCACCGGAAGUCAGCCCCCGGGACCGAGCCUCUGACUUCCAACCAACCCCCAAGGCCAAGGGACAGGAGAGGAGCCGGAGGCUGGCCCUCAGAUCCAGGGUCCUGGGGGAGCACCAGUGUCAGUGGGCCUGGUUGUACAAAUGAGUGGUGUCUCCUCUCUCCGUCCUGGUGUCUUGUUAAGGAGGGAAUAGAGACGAUGCUGAAUAGUGGUGGUACUUUCCCAGCUCCAGCAUCAGCUCUUUUUCUCCCAGGCAGUUAACUGUCUCACAGCAGACAGGAUCCAGGUGACACUGCUGUCCCUGCAUUCAGCCACAUUCAACCCCAACCAUUCAUCCGUCCGUCUAAUGUCUGUUCAGGUUCUUCUUAGUGCCAAGCACGGUCCAGGCACUGGCUCUUAGCAAGGAACAGAGAAAGGUCCUUGCCUUCGGGGAGCCCCGGUUAACGGAGAACCCAAAGGAAGAGGUCCAUGCGUCUAGCACAGAGCGAAGGGGCUCGGUCAGGGCGAGUCCAGAUCUGAGACCCUCAGUUCCUGUGAGAGACCUGGCGACCUGCUCACGAGGCUUCAGGCAACCUCCUUCUCUGCCACCAUCUAGCUGGGUGACCCGGGGCCAGUUUCUCCGUGCCCAUCAGUCAUCUCAAUCUACCAGAGGAGAUGGUCCUCGGGGGUCCCACCCGCCUCCCAGGAUGGUGGCGAGACUCAGGUCUGUACUUCACGGAGUGAGGCCUGUGUUGGCGAGCCUGCUGUUCCCCGGGCUGGACCGUGAUCAGGUUAAGAGGAAGUUUCCCUCCCUGGUCCCCUGCUGCCAGCUGCUUUCCUCCUAAGCCAUUCACCUGUGCCAACUUUUCUUUUUCCUACACUCGCGUCAAAACUUACCAGUCCCACAGGCAUCCUGGUAAGACUCUGCUCAUUAUUUUCCCAAGUGGCAAUUGCCUUACCCUGGUCCCAGACACUGAUGUCUUCCUAAGAUCUGACCCUGGACUUUCCAAGGAGCCCAUGGCCACUGCAGGACUCCAGGAGGAGGAGUGUCAAGCAAUGUGGAAAAGGAGGGAGGUUCUGGGCCAGGUGGGCAGGUGAGAUGGGGUGGGAAGGGCUCCCCAAGCCACUCUCUGAGGGCAGCCUCAUUCUCUGCCUUUUCCCAUGGGAGCCUCUGAGCCAGCAUCCUGGAGACCUCGGGACACUCAGCCCCAGCCAGCCCUGACAGACCUGUCCCCAUGGUGCAUGGCACAGGGGUUCAUUUAGAUGACAAGGACCCCUGACCUCCUUCCGCUAGUGACGAUGACCGGGCAGGAGAGCUGGCAAAUGCCAGGGAGCCAAAAGACACAAAGAGAAAUGGCCCUUAUGGUGCUAAGAAUGGUGAAGUUUGGUUUCCCCAUCACCCCUUCAUCUCAGGUGUGUCAAGAGAAUCUGCUCACCCCUACUUCACAAUCCCAAUCCCAAUCCCUCUACAAAGAGGAGAGGGAAAGAACUCAACUCCAUCUACAGAGGGGAAGACAGAGGUCCUGAAAGUCACCUAGAGACUCAGCAUUGGCUUUCUCCUUCCCUCCCACCCACCUCCCAUAGGGUCACCAU